rnacentral:lncRNA from 1 species
CACUAUCUAUUUAAUUGUCAAUGAUUUAAUGCGGUAGUAUUCUGAUGAAAUAUUUUCAUUGAUGUGGGCGUGGUUGCAAUGAAACAAAAUGGCGACUAUAAAGGCUAUGAAACGGGAGCAAUUCUCCAGCUUACUUGCAGCAGGAUAAGACUCAUCUGUUAUCCAGACACUUCCCUAGCAGCAAGAAAGAUGACAAAGUAGCUAUAUAAUCAUCAAGAAAGAAGAUCAAGUCGAGGAUCAAGUUGUGAGACAGUGACUGCCAUUAAUAUCUGCAGAAAUUCUUAACUCAUGAAGCUUGAAGAGCAAGUUCAUAGUAUGAAAUUACCUUCCACUGAUGAAAGUUCUGCAAUGCUCUGCAUCAUUAUAUUGACAUCAACAUUUAUUUAGUCAUAAUAUGUGACUACAUCAAUCUAUAUAGACAUUGUACAUUGC